rnacentral:rRNA from 1 species
AUUGAACGCUGGCGGCAUGCUUUACACAUGCAAGUCGAACGGUGACAGGGAGCUUGCUCCGCUGACGAGUGGCGAACGGGUGAGUAAUGUAUCGGAACGUACCCAAGAGUGGGGGAUAACGUAGCGAAAGUUACGCUAAUACCGCAUACGAUCCAAGGAUGAAAGUGGGGGACCUUCGGGCCUCAUGCUCCUGGAGCGGCCGAUAUCUGAUUAGCUAGUUGGUGAGGUAAAGGCUCACCAAGGCGACGAUCAGUAGCUGGUCUGAGAGGACGACCAGCCACACUGGGACUGAGGCACGGACCAGACUCCUACGGGAGGCAGCAGUGGGGAAUUUUGGACAAUGGGGGCAACCCUGAUCCAGCAAUGCCGCGUGAGUGAAGAAGGCCUUCGGGUUGUAAAGCUCUUUUGUCAGGGAAGAAACGGUCCAGGCUAAUAUCCUGGGCUAAUGACGGUACCUGAAGAAUAAGCACCGGCUAACUACGUGCCAGCAGCCGCAGUAAGAC